CAGUAACUGGAUAAACAAAGACUGAUCAGGAGGAGUCAGCACAGCUUUGUGUAUGAGAAGUUGGGCUUGACAAAGCUCUCUGAGUUCCUUGAAGAAGUAACCAAAAAUGAAUUGCCUGUCUUUGACAAUGUCUCCAGCAAGAUAUUCCAGACGUUGACAUAAGAGGGAAGCUGCUGGCCAGAGAGCGCAUUGUAUCCUGAAUUCAGAUGAGAGGCCGAGAGUUCCCAUCAUGGAUAACAUAAAUCCUCUUGUACCAAUGCAG